GUGCCAGCAGCCGCGGUAAUACGGAGGGAGCUAGCGUUGUUCGGAAUUACUGGGCGUAAAGCGCGCGUAGGCGGUUACUCAAGUCAGAGGUGAAAGCCCGGAGCUCAACUCCGGAACUGCCUUUGAAACUAGGUGACUAGAAUCUUGGAGAGGCAAGUGGAAUUCCGAGUGUAUAGGUGAAAUUCGUAGAUAUUCGGAAGAACACCAGUGGCGAAGGCGACUCGCUGGACAAGUAUUGACGCUGAGGUGCGAAAGCGUGGGGAGCAAACAGGAUUAGAUACUCUGGUAGUCCACGCCGUAAAACGAUGAUAACUAGCUGCUAGGGCCCACAGGGCUUUGGUGGCGCAGCUAACGCAUUAAGUUAUCCCGCCUGGGGGAGUACGGUCGCAAGAUUAAAACUCAAAGGAAUUGACGG
rnacentral:rRNA from 1 species